rnacentral:rRNA from 1 species
AUAUCAGUCAUGCAUAGCAUAUCAAUAAGCGGAGGAAAAGAAACUAACAAGGAUUCCCUUAGUAACGGCGAGUGAAGCGGGAAGAGCUCAAAUUUGAAAUCUUCAAGGUUCUACCUUGACGAAUUGUAGUUUAUAGAAGUGUUUUCUGUUAGUGGAGUGGCAAAAGUUCUUUGGAAUAGGACAUCAUAGAGGGUGAGAAUCCCGUAUUUGGUCAUUCCUCCUAGCGUUGUGAUACACUUUCAACGAGUCGGAUUGUUUGGGAAUGCAGUCCAAAAUGGGUGGUAAAUUUCAUCUAAAGCUAAAUAUUGGCGAGAGACCGAUAGCGAACAAGUACCGUGAGGGAAAGAUGAAAAGAACUUUGAAAAGAGAGUUAAACAGUACGUGAAAUUGUCAAAAGGGAAGCGUUUGACACCAGUGUUGUUUUUCCGAAAAUCAAUUACGAAUGUUUUGUUUUUGAGGAGUUAUGACUUCAUCGGCUUGCUCCUUUCUUUAUGAAACUUUCUUAAUGCACUUUUCGGUUAACAAGUCAACAUCAAUUUCUUUUGUUGUAAAAGGGUAAGAGGAAGGUGGCUUGCGCUUCGGCUCAAGUGUUUAUAGCCUUUUACCUCUGCAAUCGGAGAGAUUGAGGACUGCAGCGUAGACUCUUCGGGGUUAGAUACGUUUGUGCUAAGUUAUAGCCUUGUAUAGACAACUUGUUGACUAUACUCAGUCAUGUAGCUUACUCGCAUGAUAGCUAUUUUACCUACGCUUAGGAUGUUGAUCUCUCACAGUCGAGC